UAGACUAAGGCCUAGAUUGAUUUGGGUGUUUAGCUGUUAACUAAAAGGUUGUAGGAUAAAAACCUGCUAGUCUAG
rnacentral:tRNA from 1 species